GUCUGUAACUGACGCUUAAGAGCGAAAGCGUGGGGAGCGAACAGGAUUAGAUACCCUGGUAGUCCACGCCGUAAACGAUGAGUGCUAAGUGUUAGGGGGUUUCCGCCCCUUAGUGCUGCAGCUAACGCAUUAAGCACUCCGCCUGGGGAGUACGGUCGCAAGACUGAAACUCAAAGGAAUUGACGGGGGCCCGCACAAGCGGUGGAGCAUGUGGUUUAAUUCGAAGCAACGCGAAGAACCUUACCAGGUCUUGACAUCCUCUGACAAUCCUAGAGAUAGGACGUCCCCUUCGGGGGCAGAGUGACAGGUGGUGCAUGGUUGUCGUCAGCUCGUGUCGUGAGAUGUUGGGUUAAGUCCCGCAACGAGCGCAACCCUUGAUCUUAGUUGCCAGCAUUCAGUUGGGCACUCUAAGGUGACUGCCGGUGACAAACCGGAGGAAGGUGGGGAUGACGUCAAAUCAUCAUGCCCCUUAUGACCUGGGCUACACACGUGCUACAAUGGACAGAACAAAGGGCAGCGAAACCGCGAAGUUAAGCCAAUCCCACAAAUCUGUUCUCAGUUCGGAUCGCAGUCUGCAACUCGACUGCGUGAAGCUGGAAUCGCUAGUAAUCGCGGAUC
rnacentral:rRNA from 1 species